rnacentral:lncRNA from 1 species
CGUGUUCGAUUCCCACCAUAUGUGUUAAGAGAAUUUUUUCUAGUUGUCGGAGGUAUGCUGGUGGUUAAGACAAAAUUUAUUCAAAAUUUGGUUAACGUCUGUAUCUAUUCUUCUUCUUCUUUCUUUUUUUUAUUUUUUCUUUUCUUUCUUUGUUUACUUCUUUAAUUCUUUAUCGUCGAGUGUGUUCAACACGUGAUUAUCAAAAACUAGUUAUUGGGGCCCAAAAUCUAUUUUUAAGGCUUGAAAUGUUACUUAACACUGAUACUGGCCACUUUAAUGUAUGAAUGAUUGAAAUUGAUGAUAUUUGAAUUGUCUGAUACUCUAAGAUUGAUCUGUGAGAAACUUAGUUAUAAGUAC